GUCCCUAUCGUCUAGAGGCCUAGGACAUCGCCCUUUCACGGCGGUAACCGGGCUUCGAAUCCCCGUAGGGACGCCA
rnacentral:tRNA from 1 species